rnacentral:rRNA from 1 species
CUACGGGGUGCUCCAGUAGGGAAUAUUGGGCAAUGGACGCAAGUCUGACCCAGCCAUGCCGCGUGCAGGAUGAAGGCGUUAUGCGUUGUAAACUGCUUUUAUACAGGAAGAAACGACUCUUGCGAGAGGCAUUGACGGUACUGUAUGAAUAAGCACCGGCUAACUCCGUGCCAGCAGCCGCGGUAAUACGGAGGGUGCAAGCGUUGUCCGGAUUUAUUGGGUUUAAAGGGUGCGCAGGUGGUUUAUUAAGUCAGUGGUGAAAGACGGUCGCUCAACGAUUGCAGUGCCAUUGAAACUGGUAGACUUGAGUAAAGUAGAGGUGGGCGGAAUUGAUAGUGUAGCGGUGAAAUGCAUAGAUAUUAUCAAGAACUCCAAUUGCGUGGGCAGCUCACUUGGCUUUUACUGACACUCAUGCACGAAAGUGUGGGUAUCAAACAGGAUUAGAUACCCGCGUAGUC